rnacentral:rRNA from 1 species
AUUGAACGCUGGCGGCAUGCCUUACACAUGCAAGUCGAACGGUAACAGGUCUUCGGAUGCUGACGAGUGGCGAACGGGUGAGUAAUACAUCGGAACGUGCCCGAUCGUGGGGGAUAACGAAGCGAAAGCUUUGCUAAUACCGCAUAAGAUCUACGGAUGAAAGCAGGGGACCGCAAGGCCUUGCGCGAACGGAGCGGCCGAUGGCAGAUUAGGUAGUUGGUGGGAUAAAAGCUUACCAAGCCGACGAUCUGUAGCUGGUCUGAGAGGACGACCAGCCACACUGGGACUGGGACACGGCCCAGACUCCUACGGGAGGCAGCAGUGGGGAAUGUUGGACAAUGGGCGAAAGCCUGAUCCAGCCAUGCCGCGUGCAGGAUGAAGGCCUUCGGGUUGUAAACUGCUUUUGUACGGAACGAAAAGACUCUUUCUAAUAAAGAGGGUCCAUGACGGUACCGUAAGAAUAAGCACCGGCUAACUACGUGCCAGCCGCCGCCGUAAAAC